GUGGGGCACGCAGGGGCUGGGCCGACCGGUCUGGCAAGCCCGAGCCGGUCCUGCAGAGGCCUCCAGCUGCGGCUUUAGUGUGACCAAGUGUUGUGGGGGUCCCCAGGGGCCGGUCUGACCGGUCUGGCGAGCCCGAGCCGGUCGUGCAGAGGGAGCCAGCUGCGGCUUUAGUGUGACCGAGUGCUGUGCGGGCCCGCACGGGCCGGUCUGAGCGGUCCGGCGACCGGGACCGGCUCCUUCAGCAUGCUCCAGCCACAGCUGCGGAGGAGGCCGAGUCCGGUGGGGGCACGCAGGGGUCCGGGUGACCAGUCCGGCGAGCCUGAGCUGGUCCUGUACAGGCCACCAGCCGCACCUGCAGUGAGACCGAGUCCUGUGGGGCACACAGGGGCCAGGCCGACCAUUCCGGAGGGCCCGAGCCGGUCCUGCAGAGGCCUCCAGCUGCGGCUUUAGUGUGACCAAGUGUUGUGGGGGUCCCCAGGGGCCGGUCCGACCGGUCUGGCGAGCCCGAGCCGGUCCUGCAGAGGGCGCCAGCUGCGGCUUUAGUGUGACCGAGUGCUGUGCGGGCCCGCAGGGGCCGGUCCGAGCGGUCCGGCGACCGGGACCGGCUCCUUCAGCAUGCUCCAGCCACAGCUGCGGAGGAGGCCGAGUCCGGUGGGGGCACGCAGGGGUCCGGGUGACCAGUCCGGCGAGCCUGAGCUGGUCCUGUAGAGGCCACCAGCCGCACCUGCUGUGUGACCGAGUCCUGUUUGG
ensembl:lncRNA